UGCCAGCGGUUCGGCCGGGCACUCUGGAGGGACUGCCGGUGUCAAGCCGGAGGAAGGUGGGGAUGACGUCAAGUCCUCAUGGCCCUUAUGUCCGGGGCUACACACGUGCUACAAUGGCCGGUACAGAGGGAAGCGAGACCGCGAGGUGGAGCAAAUCCCAAAAAGCCGGUCCCAGUUCGGAUUGGAGUCUGCAACUCGACUCCAUGAAGUCGGAAUCGCUAGUAAUCGCGGAUCAGCACGCCGCGGUGAAUACGUUCCCGGGCCUUGUACACACCGCCCGUCACACCAUGGGAGCUGGUUGCUCCAGAAGUCGGUGACCCAACCGCAAGGAGGGAGCCGCCGAAGGAGUGGCUGGUGACUGGGGUG
rnacentral:rRNA from 1 species